UGAGUACGAGCUGCUACGGCAGCGAAGUGGGUGACGUCAAGCUUCCAAGAAAAGCCCUACACCCGUUAAGGCAUGAUGGCCUGUACCCGAAACCGACACAGGUGGGGUGGUAGAGAAUACCGAGGGGCGCGAGGUAACUCUCUCUAAGGAACUCGGCAAAAUGGCCCCGUAACUUCGGGAGAAGGGGUGCCACCGCAAGGUGGUCGCAGUGAAGAGGCCCAGGCGACUGUUUACCAAAAACACAGGUCUCCGCUAAGUCGCAAGACGAUGUAUGGGGGCUGACGCCUGCCCAGUGCCGGAAGGUUAAGGAAGCUGGUCAGCGCAAGCGAAGCUGGCGACUGAAGCCCCGGUGAACGGCGGCCGUAACUAUAACGGUCCUAAGGUAGCGAAAUUCCUUGUCGGGUAAGUUCCGACCCGCACGAAAGGCGUAACGAUCUGGGCGCUGUCUCGGAGAGAGGCUCGGCGAAAUAGAAUUGUCUGUGAAGAUGCGGACUACGUGCACCCGGACAGAAAGACCCUAUGAAGCUUUACUGUAGCUUGGUAUUGUGCCCGGGCUCUGAAUGCGCAGGAUAGGUGGGAGGCUUUGAUCCAUUGCUUGUGGGUGAUGGUGAGCCAACGGUGAGAUACCACUCUUUCAGAGCUAGGGUUCUAACGGUCACCCGUUAUCCGGGGACCGGACAGUAUCAGGUGGGCAGUUUGACUGGGGCGGUCGCCUCCUAAAAUGUAACGGAGGCGCGCAAAGGUUCCCUCAGGCUGGUUGGAAAUCAGCCGAUGAGUGUAAAGGCAGAAGGGAGCUUGACUGUGAGACCUACAAGUCGAACAGGGACGAAAGUCGGCCUUAGUGAUCCGACGGUUCUGAGUGGAAGGGCCGUCGCUCAACGGAUAAAAGUUACUCUAGGAUAACAGGCUGAUCUCCCCCAAGAGUUCACAUCGACGGGGAGGUUUGGCACCUCGAUGUCGGCUCAUCGCAACCUGGGGCUGAAGUCGGUCCCAAGGGUUGGGCUGUUCGCCCAUUAAAGCGGUACGCGAGCUGGGUUCAGAACGUCGUGAGACAGUUCGGUCCAUAUCCGGUGCAUGCGCAGGAAUAUUGAGAGGAUUUCUCCCUAGUACGAGAGGACCGGGAGGAACGCACCUCUGGUGUACCAGUUAUCGUGCCAACGGUAAACGCUGGGUAGCCAUGUGCGGAGUGGAUAACCGCUGAAAGCAUCUAAGUGGGAAGCCCACCUCAAGAUGAGUAUUCCCAUGGCGUUAGCCAGUAAGGUCACGGGCAGAACACCCGUUGAUAGGCUCUACGUGGAAGCCGGGUAACCGGUGAAGCGGAGGAGUACUAAUAGACCGAGGGCUU
rnacentral:rRNA from 1 species